rnacentral:lncRNA from 1 species
GUAAAAUUCAAUCAUUUGGUCAAAAUAAUCGAUUUAAGUUCCUUGUUGGUUCUAUAUUGGAGGAAUCGAGUUUGGGAACUUCUCAUUUAUGUAGAAUUAAAUUAUCAUGCAAUUUGCGUCCCGCUUUUCACAAAUUUUCUCUCAAGUAAUGCGAUUCAAUUUUACUGAUAUCAAGCACUAGUUUAAAUGGCAAUUUCAUGACAUUAAAUAAUUGAUUCAAAUAAAUUUAAUGUCAUAUGAUCCAUAUCAUUGAAUCUAUUACGUGUGGUCAUCUAAAUUGGUAUUCCAACACAGUUGGUGCUUGAUAACAUUAUUCGAUGUGAAAUGUGAUGUUGGGUGAUAUUUGUUUUGGAAUGUUUCAUAAAGUUCUAGUUGUGAUGAGAGGCCAUAUUAGAACCAGAUGGUAAGUAUGUGAUUGGUCAAGUGAAGGUUGGUGGGUUUGGUCCAUAAGAGCAAUCUCUAAAAGAAUACUAUUGCUCUUGUCGACUACAAUUGACGCUACAUUUCACAAUACAUAGUGAAUUAUUUCAUUUCCUAACACAUUUUAGUGGAAUUGUACUCUUUUUUUUAUGAAUGAGAGCUCUCCUAAUGAAUAAUGACAUAUGAUGGGCAUUUUAAAAUCAGUCUAAAUAACAACGUAUGAUAUUAAAAAAUUAAAAAUAAUCUCAAUAUAGGACCAUAUUAAAUUUAAUAUUGAACUUAUCAUGCAUGGUUACAUAAAUUAAUUUUAAAACAUCAACUAGAAUAUAUAGCAUUACCUUUCUUAAAAUAUUAUUUAACUAUGUAAGUCAUCAUUACUAUAGUUUAUUUUCAAUUUGUGCUAUGUUGACAUGUUUAAAUGUAUCAAAUUCUCAAAAAAUUGGCUUAGUCUCAAACCUUUGCUCGUCUUGCAUUUCUUGGUCCCAAAAUUUUAAACCUUGACAAUCAUAUCACAAACCUAUGCUUUUUGGCAUAGUUAAUCCUUUUGGAUGGAUUCCGUUUAAAAUGGAAGUUAAUUUUGUGCGUAGAUUGUAAUUUUCUUAUUUUAUUUUUAUCUGAAGAGGCAAAUUUGUCAAAUCAAUAACUUUAAAAAAAAAUUAAAAAGAAAAAUUAUAAUCAUAUUCUUCUUCCACCCUCACUAUUUUCGUACAUACAUAGACAUGGGAAGGGGAAGUGUGACAAGCAGCGUAACGAUUCGCUUGUACAAACCACUCGUGAAAAAUGUCAUUUCGAUAAUAAUAAAAAAGUUGACAUGCCACGAGUAACUCAACUUCUCCCAAUUCUCAUUCCUAUAUAGACACUUCGAAUGAAAUGUACAAACGUUUACAUUUAGAGCAGCAGAAGCCAGAAGGAUAUAUGCAUAUAACAUCCACAUUUUCUGGUGGAUAAACAAACAGAGCUGGUUAGCUAACAUAAUGGUUGUCAAAUCGUAUCUCAUUCAGACUAAUGCUAAACAAUUUACAAGCUAUUAUGUUUUAUGUAAUUUGAUCCCGAAACCAAGUAACUCUUCAAAAUUAUUACCAUAAAAUAGUUUGGCAAACCAAAAAUUAGGAACGGAAUCAAGAACCGACAAGAUCUGGUAUCGGUUCUUGGUUCUUGAAUUGGAACCGUUGGUACCCAAAUUGAGCCCUUUUUAUAAUACUAUGUUCUUACAAUUUAUAGGAUGA